GGGUCCGAGUUGUAAUUUGUAGAGGAUGUUUCGGGCGCGGCGCCGGUCUAAGUCCCUUGGAACAGGGCGUCACAGAGGGUGAGAAUCCCGUAUGUGACCGGUGGCCAACCCCAUGUGAAACCCCUUCGACGAGUCGAGUUGUUUGGGAAUGCAGCUCAAAAUGGGUGGUAAAUUUCAUCUAAAGCUAAAUACCAGCCAGAGACCGAUAGCGCACAAGUAGAGUGAUCGAAAGAUGAAAAGCACUUUGGAAAGAGAGUCAAACAGUACGUGAAAUUGUUGAAAGGGAAGCGCUGGCAACCAGACCUGUCCGUGGGCUUCAGCCCCCGUUUUCGGAGGUGUACUUGUCCGCGAUCAGGCCAGCAUCGGUUCGGGCGGUUGGAUAAAGGUCUUGGGAAUGUAGCUUCCUCCGGGAAGUCUUAUAGCCCUCGGCGCAAUGCGGCCAGCCCGGACCGAGGACCGCGCUCG
rnacentral:rRNA from 1 species